rnacentral:rRNA from 1 species
CCUACGGGUGGCAGCAGUGGGGAAUAUUGGGCAAUGGGCGCAAGCCUGACCCAGCAACGCCGCGUGAAGGAAGAAGGCUUUCGGGUUGUAAACUUCUUUUGACAGGGAAGAGUAGCAGACGGUACCCGUCGCAUCAGCCACGGCUAACUACGUGCCAGCAGCCGCGGUAAUACGUAGGUGGCAAGCGUUGUCCGGCUUUACUGGGUGUAAAGGGCGUGGAGCCGGGUGGACAAGUCAGAUGUGAAAUCCUGCGGCUUAACCGGAGAACUGCAUUUGAAACUGUUGCUCUUGAGUGCUGGAGAGGCAGACGGAAUUCCUGGUGUAGCGGUGAAAUGCGUAGAUAUUAGGAGGAACACCAGUGGCGAAGGCGGUCUGGUGGACAGUAACUGACGGUGAGGCGCGAAAGCGUGGGGAGCAAACAGGAUUAGAUACCCCUGUAGUC